GUGCUUGCUUCGGCAGCAUAUAUACUAAAACUGGAACUAUACAGAAAAGAUUAGCAUGGCCUCUGUGCAAGGAUGACAUGAUCCCUGGUGAGGCUAGUUUCU